GGGGCAGUGAUCUAGCUCGGUCCAUGAUGCCACUCUUACACAGUGGACACCAGCGGUUCAAAUCCGCUCUGCCCCACCA
rnacentral:tRNA from 1 species